AGAGUUUGAUCCUGGCUCAGGAUGAACGCUAGCGGCAGGCCUAACACAUGCAAGUCGAACGGUUCAGCAAUGGACAGUGGCGGACGGGUGCGUAACGCGUAUGUAACCUAUCACAGGCUGGGGGAUAACCAUUCGAAAGGAUGGCUAAUACCGCAUAAUGCAGCGGCAGCGAAGGCUGACAGUUGUUAAAGAUUUAUCGGCUUGUGCGGGGCAUGCGUCAGAUUAGCUAGUUGGUGAGGUAACGGCUCACCAAGGCGACGAUCUGUAGCUGGUCUGAGAGGAUGAUCAGCCACACUGGCACUGAGACACGGGCCAGACUCCUACGGGAGGCAGCAGUGGGGAAUAUUGGGCAAUGGGGGCAACCCUGACCCAGCCAUGCCGCGUGCGGGAAGAAGGCGCACAGCGUUGUAAACCGCUUUUCUCCGGGGAUAAGGUAUGCUUCGAGCGUAAUUGAAGGUACUGGAGGAAUAAGCACCGGCAAACUACGUGCCAGCCGCCGCGGUAAUAC
rnacentral:rRNA from 1 species